GGCCAAAUUGCGGCGGGGAACACCCCUCACCGCAACCUCCACGGCCCGGUGAUACAACCGAAGACUACUAUGACUUCCCUGGAUGCCGACACUGUCCUCUUCUUCAUCCAGCCCAGAAGGGCACGAUAUCACACUGGAUACGAUAUAUAUCAGUGGAAAACAAUCAGAAGGCCACAUGGAUUGAAGACUUUAAUCGAAAGGCAACACCAUAAUGCCAAGGGAUUUGGGGAGUAGGAGGGAUAUAUUGCACCAGAAAAAACACACAGGACAGAAGAAACAGUUUCACAGAAGACACAGAGGAAACAUGAGACAAAGGUGGAGAGAAGAGAGACAAGCAGAGGGUUCAAACC